rnacentral:misc_RNA from 1 species
AACGCACGAGACCUGCGGACCUGCGGAGGGAUCAUUACAGGACUCGCAAGACUCCUACAACCCUGUGAACCUACUAUACGAACGUUGCUUCGGCGGGUGCGCCCCGGGGAUUCGUUCCCGCGGCGCGUCAGCCCGCCGGCAGCCUACAAAUUCUGUUUCUUUGCGUUGGCAUCUCGAGAAAAACAAAUAAGUUAAAACUUUCAGCAAUGGAUCUCU